AAAAUUAUGUUUUAAAAGAAAAAAUCAAUUUCAUAAAUAAAAAAUACAGGUUGAAUCUAAACUUUUAUUUCUUCAAACAAAGUUAUAGAUAAAAAAGAUAAAGUUUUGUAUUAUUUAAAAUAAUACUAUAAUUAAAGAUAUAUUUUUAAAUAAAUAUUUAUUUAUUUAAAAAUAACAAUAAAAUUGAAAUCAUAAAGCAAAGGUUCAGCUCUUUUUAUUCUUU
rnacentral:tRNA from 1 species